UACGUAGGGGGCGAGCGUUGUCCGGAUUUAUUGGGCGUAAAGAGCUCGUAGGCGGUUUGGCAAGUCGGGUGUGAAAACUCCGGGCUCAACUCGGAGACGCCACUCGAUACUGCCAUGACUCGAGUCCGGUAGGGGAGUGCGGAAUUCCUGGUGUAGCGGUGAAAUGCGCAGAUAUCAGGAGGAACACCGGUGGCGAAGGCAGGUCUCUGGGCUGACACUGACGCUCAUGCACGAAAGCGUGGGGAGCAAACAGG
rnacentral:rRNA from 1 species